AGAGUUUGAUCCUGGCUCAGAGUGAACGCUGGCGGCGUGCUUAACACAUGCAAGUCGAACGAUGAAGCUCUAGCUUGCUAGAGUGGAUUAGUGGCGCACGGGUGAGGAAUAUAUAGCUAAUGUGCCCCUUAGAGGGGGAUAACAGUUGGAAACGACUGCUAAUACCCCAUACUCCUUCUUACUAUAAGGUAAGUUGGGAAAGUUUUUUCGCUAAGGGAUCGGGCUAUACGGUAUCAGCUUGUUGGUGAGGUAAUGGCUCACCAAGGCUAUGACGCCUAUCUGGUCUGAGAGGAUGAUCAGACACACUGGAACUGAGACACGGUCCAGACUCCUACGGGAGGCAGCAGUGGGGAAUAUUACACAAUGGAGGAAACUCUGAUGUAGCAACGCCGCGUGGAGGAUGACACAUUUCGGUGCGUAAACUCCUUUUAUAUGGGAAGAUAAUGACGGUACCAUAUGAAUAAGCACCGGCUAACUCCGUGCCAGCAGCCGCGGUAAUACGGAGGGUGCAAGCGGUUACUCGGAAUUCACUGGGCGUAAAGCGGCGGGGCAGGCGGCCCCGUUAAGUUGGAUGUGAAAUCCUAUGGCUCAACCAUAGAACUGCAUCCAAAACUGAUGGGCUAGAGUCUGGGAGGGGAAGAUGGAAUUAGUGGUGUAGGGGUAAAAUCCGUAGAGAUCACUAGGAAUACCAAAAGCGAAGGCGAUCUUCUGGAACAGUACUGACGCUGAGGCGCGAAAGCGUGGGGAGCAAACAGGAUUAGAUACCCUGGUAGUCCACGCCCUAAACUAUGAAUGUUAGUCGUCGGGGGGCUCGUCCUUUCGGUGAUGCAGCUAACGCAUUAAACAUUCCGCCUGGGGAGUACGGUCGCAAGAUUAAAACUCAAAGGAAUAGACGGGGACCCGCACAAGUGGUGGAGCAUGUGGUUUAAUUCGAAGAUACGCGAAGAACCUUACCUGGCCUUGACAUUGAUAGAAUCUGCUAGAGAUAGCGGAGUGCCCUUCGGGGAACUUGAAAACAGGUGCUGCACGGCUGUCGUCAGCUCGUGUCGUGAGAUGUUGGGUUAAGUCCCGCAACGAGCGCAACCCUCGUCACUAGUUACUAACGGUUCGGCCGAGGACUCUAGUGAGACUGCCUUCGUAAGGAGGAGGAAGGUGAGGACGACGUCAAGUCAUCAUGGCCCUUACGGCCAGGGCGACACACGUGCUACAAUGGGAUGUACAAUGAGACGCAAUACCGCGAGGUGGAGCAAAUCUAUAAAGCAUCUCUCAGUUCGG
rnacentral:rRNA from 1 species